AGUAGGUAACAGGUACCAGCUACUGUCAGCAGGGAGGAAGGUAUGUGGUGACCACGAGUCCAGACCUGAGGGUCCUGACCCUCUAAUGCGGCCUCUCACCAGUGUUCGCAGAAACCCACCCGCUGAUUCAAUACGGGGACCAGGAACCUGCCAUGACAGUCACGACUCAGUCUGCCUGCACCUACAUGAUUAAAAAGCUUUAUUGCUCACACAAAGCCUGUUUGGUGGUCUCUUCAUAUGGAUGCGCAUAACAUUUGGUGCCGAAGACCCCGGACAGGGUGACUCCUUCGGGAGAUUGGUCCCCUCUCCUCACCCUCACUCCAUGAGAAGAUCCACCUACGACCUCAGGUCCUCAGACCAGCCCAAGGAACAUCUCACCAAUUUCAAACCGGGCUUCCCUCUUGUCUGGAGGAAAAAGAAAAAAGAGAACCAGACUUAGACACAACUUCUUGUGGGCACAUAUUCAGAAGGCAUCUCACUGGAGAGGGUUUAGUUCUCCUUAGCAGAAGAUAAGAUUUCAAGAUUUCAGCUAAGACUCAUCUCUCUGCAAAUCUUUCUUUUGAGAGCAUCUUCACCAGGAGGAGAUUCCAUCUCAAGAGACCACUUUCACUGCUCAUAUGUAAGAAGCAACUCUUCAUCUGUUCAAGUUUGAUCAU
rnacentral:lncRNA from 10 species